rnacentral:rRNA from 1 species
UGGGGAAUCUUGCACAGUGGAGGAAACUCUGAUGCAGCGAUGCCGCGUGAGUGAAGAAGGCCUUUGGGUUGUAAAGCUCUUUUGUCGGGAAAGAUAAUGACUGUACCCGAAGAAUAAGGUCCGGCUAACUUCGUGCCAGCAGCCGCGGUAAUACGAAGGGACCUAGCGUAGUUCGGAAUUACUGGGCGUAAAGCGCGCGUAGGCGGUUAUGUAAGUUAAUUGUGAAAGCCCAAAGCUCAACUUUGGAACUGCAAUUAAAACUAUUUAGCUAGAGUUUGAUAGAGGAAAGCGGAAUACAUAGUGUAGAGGUGAAAUUCGUAGAUAUUAUGUAGAACACCAGUUGCGAAGGCGGCUUUCUGGAUCAUUACUGACGCUGAGGUGCGAAAGUAUGGGUAGCGAAGAGG